rnacentral:lncRNA from 1 species
GAAGAAAUACAGUAAGGUCUUUCCCUUUAGUAAAAGGAAAGACCUUAAUAAACAGAAGAAAUACAGUAAGGUCUUUCCCUUUAGUAAAAGGAAAGACCUUAAUUAAAACACAACAGAUUGUUGGGAAGACACAUUUAUUAAUUAAUAUUGGGGCGGGAAAACAAUAAGAGAUACAACACAAUAAAAUAUUAUACAUAUAUACACAUGACAAUCAUGUAAGAAGACAAAACAAUAUUUAUGUAACUUUCAGUUCAAUUUACAGGCUUCAUUCCUAUAAAAAACAUUGUUGACUUAUGUAGACGAAACGCGCGUCUGGCGUAUAACAUUAUACGCUUGGUAUGUUUGAGAACUAUUGAUAUCCUUUUGACUAAAAAAUGUGAAUAUGAUACUCUUAUUAAAUCAUUAUAAAAUAUUAAAUUUGAAAAGGAGCGUACUGAAGAAAAAUACGAAAAUCAAACGUCAACGCCAUGAAUAAAAAAAGAAAAAGAACAACAACUAAACAACAGUAAACAAAACAAAACAUACAUAACUAAUGACUGAAUAUCACGAGCACCACCAACAUAUGGUGGUGAUAUGAGGUUCACUGGUAGGGUAAGAAUAUCCUGCUCCACAUGUCGAGCAAGUAGACGGAAUUGUAUGGUCAACCAACUUGAGGUGUCGUCCAUUAAAAAGGACGAGGGGAUAGUUUAAACUUCAUCAAUUAAAACUCUUGGUUUAAUAGUUUCCUUGUGAGAAGUAAUCUUGUAUCGAGGAAAUACUAACUCUUAAAGCAUUUUUUUCUGUUUUACAGUGCGUAUUUUCACAUCCGUACCGUCCAUAGCCCCAAAAAUUAUUGACGUGGUUUAUUUUCAACAAUGAUUUUACCCUCGAUCUUCUCAAUUUAAUUUUAUAGAAAAAUGAGCAAAUGCAUAUGAUUUAUUUUACCUCCUAAUAGAUAAAUGUCAUUGGUUUCAGGGACGGUUUCACUCUAAUGGAAUGAAAUUUUCCGAAGGAUAAAAUAUUUGAGACCUUUGUGGCAUUUUACCCCCUUUUGUGCAAUAUUUCGUAACAAAUAAAUGCAGAUUGUUGCCUUGAUUACACCAAAAAGAGAUAGUAUUUCAAAUUAAAACUAUUGCACAUCAAUUCUAUGGAAGAAGUUUUUUCUAAUAAAUAUACACAUGCAUAACGAAAACAUAAAGCCUUAUUUGUUUGAAAUGAAGGGAAAGAGAGUGGUUAAAAAUUAUGAGUAAUUUUAAGGGUUUUUUUCCUAACUAUGUAUUGCUACUUAAACGAUAAAACGAAAACAAAUCCGGGUUACACACUAAGACCGAGGGAAACACGUCAACUACAACAGGAAAACAACGGAACAACAGAAUCCUUGAACUGCAAGAAAAACACACUUGAAGAUACAUAGAAACGAAUAAUUCUGCCAUAUUUAUUACUUGGUACAUGACUUUUUAGGAAAUAUGAAUAAACUCUCAUCACAGAAACAUACAUAAAACAUGAUAUAAUAG